UCCUACUCCAGGUAUGAUAAAGAAAACCUGGCACACUCUGUUUGUUUUUACUAAUUUCCUUUCCAAACUGUCUUUUCAAUAUAUGCGAAAGACACAGGGAGUAAAAGUUUGUUAUUUUCUAUCCAAAGUUAGGUCCCCCACACCCACCCCAUUACCUCAAACCUGCUUAAACUGCUUCUUCGUUUGUGCAAGAAAAGGGUCCUAACUCUAAGAAUCCUGAUUAUGUACUACCUUCAAAAAUGUGGCCAAGAUGUGAAUAAGAAUUAUAGAAAAAGAUUGGGCAAUGAGUGAUAAAGAGUUUGCUUACGGCCAUCAAGGGAGACUCAGGAGAAGAAGAAAAAAUUGAACUUAGGAUAACUAUGUCUGUGCCCAGGCAGAAGAAAGAAUCAAUAACCAGAAGGAGUGGGAGAGGGGGAGGAUGCAGGUGAAACACCAGCAGAAGCAGUGAGAUCAAGAGCGCUGACAGCAAAUGAAUGUUAUUGCAGCAAGAACACAGUGUAUAAUCCAGACUAUUAUGGCAAUAGCACUGAUGAAAACGGCUGCUCCAUGUGUGUUUUCUAUGCACCACUCUUUGUCCAAAUAUAAUUGUAAAUAUGUCUUUAUUCUUUAUUCACAACUGCUGAAAGAAACAGACCUACCAUAUGUGGUUGGGAUGAUGAUAAAAGCACUGCUGCUUAUCUCGGAAACAUGAGCUGAAAUUUGGCCAAGGAUUUCCUAACUAUUUGGAAUUAUAACCUGGGACUGAAUUGACAGCAUUAUGUAGCCACUAA